rnacentral:rRNA from 1 species
AUACCGCAUAACGUCGCAAGACCAAAGAGGGGGACCUUCGGGCCUCUUGCCAUCGGAUGUGCCCAGAUGGGAUUAGCUAGUAGGUGGGGUAACGGCUCACCUAGGCGACGAUCCCUAGCUGGUCUGAGAGGAUGACCAGCCACACUGGAACUGAGACACGGUCCAGACUCCUACGGGAGGCAGCAGUGGGGAAUAUUGCACAAUGGGCGCAAGCCUGAUGCAGCCAUGCCGCGUGUAUGAAGAAGGCCUUCGGGUUGUAAAGUACUUUCAGCGGGGAGGAAGGGAGUAAAGUUAAUACCUUUGCUCAUUGACGUUACCCGCAGAAGAAGCACCGGCUAACUCCGUGCCAGCAGCCGCGGUAAUACGGAGGGUGCAAGCGUUAAUCGGAAUUACUGGGCGUAAAGCGCACGCAGGCGGUUUGUUAAGUCAGAUGUGAAAUCCCCGGGCUCAACCUGGGAACUGCAUCUGAUACUGGCAAGCUUGAGUCUCGUAGAGGGGGGUAGAAUUCCAGGUGUAGCGGUGAAAUGCGUAGAGGAUCUGGAGGAAUACCGGUGGGCGAAGGCGGCCCCCUGGGACGAAGACUGACGCUCAGGUGCGAAAAGCGUGGGGGGCAAACAGGAUUAGAUACCCUGGUAGUCCACGCCGUAAACGAUGUCGACUUGGAGGUUGUGCCCUUAAGGCGUGGCUUCCGGAGCUAACGCGUUAAGUCGACCGCCUGGGGAGUACGGCCGCAAGGUUAAAACUCAAAUGAAUUGACGGGGGCCCGCACAAGCGGUGGAGCAUGUGGUUUAAUUCGAUGCAACGCGAAGAACCUUACCUGGUCUUGACAUCCACGGAAGUUUUCAGAGAUGAGAAUGUGCCUUCGGGAACCGUGAGACAGGUGCUGCAUGGCUGUCGUCAGCUCGUGUUGUGAAAUGUUGGGUUAAGUCCCGCAACGAGCGCAACCCUUAUCCUUUGUUGCCAGCGGUCCGGCC